rnacentral:tRNA from 1 species
ACAUCGGUAGCACAGUGGUUAGUGCAGUCUGCCGGAAACAGAAAGACACGUGUUCAAUCCCCGUCCGAUGUC